rnacentral:lncRNA from 1 species
CUGGGUGGGGAUGUGCUCAGGAGCGCGCUGUCUGGGGGACACGCCCACUCAUUCUGUCCUGUGACAGGGCGUGGUUGUUCACGGCUGUUCGAUUGGCGAAGUCAGUUUGAGAUGGCGUGCAGAGAAACAGCGGGAAAUCCGCACUUACCCUCCGGCCCUGGACACAGCCAGAGCUCCCGCACCCCGGACUUGGACUUGGCGGGCUGAUCAUCGCGGCGUCUUUUGUUCUGCCAAGGUUCUGGGAGAUGCUGUCAUCAGCCCUCCAUCCCAGGAUACUGGCCGCUGUCUUCAGAGACUGGAACUAGAAACUAUGUGCACUGCUGCCGCUGGGUGCCCUGCUCUGGGCCUCCUGACAGCCACUGUUCCUUCUGUGCUUUCCAUGUUCAUGUGGACAGAAUGUUGGCUCUUCCCAAGAUCUCCAGUCCCGGCCGAUCCAGUGCCACCCAGGUCCCUCCAGGUGCCCUGCCCUCCCACACCUGGAAGAUGGGCACGGCCUUUACAAAGCUAGCU